AGGGAAGAGAAAAUAUUCAAAUCACACAUUUUCUGGUGCCUAUUUCUAGUCCAUGACUUUGCCAAAUCAAAAUAAAUUGGUAUCUUUAUUUCUGUUUCAGAAGGUAACUCUUCAUGCUUCACGUGCUGGAAUGAGAGACCAAAGAAAGAGGAAAUGCAAAAGAAACAGUGGAGGACUUAAAUUUGCAGGUCCAUCAGACCUUUACACCUGUGAUUUUGGAAAUGCACAAAUGACACUGAACAAUAGAAGAAAACUAUUUAUUUUGUCACAUCAAAGAAUCAUUUGAUUUUACCAGGAGGAAGGAAGCAUAAGGAGAAGAAGGAUCACCAUUCAUGUUGGCCUUGUCCAGAGGCAAACCCCAAGUGUUUUUACAUUCAGUGAAUUCUUACGUGGUUGGAGCUAUGUGCCUCAACUGUAGCUGAUAAAAUAAAUAAACUCUGUAUCUAACUUUUACCUUGCUA
rnacentral:lncRNA from 1 species